rnacentral:sRNA from 1 species
CUUCCAUCCGUCGCGCAGACCCUGCCGGAGCCGCUGCCGCUAUGGAUGAUCGAGAGGAUCUGGUGUACCAGGCGAAGCUGGCCGAGCAGGCUGAGCGAUACGACGUGCUCUGGAACUGAACCCGCAGUAUCUUCCAAGAAAUGGUGGAGUCAAUGAAGAAAGUAGCAGGGAUGGAUGUGGAGCUGACAGUUGAAGAAAGAAACCUUCUAUCUGUUGCAUAUAAGAAUGUGAUUGGAGCUAGAAGAGCCUCCUGGAGAAUAAUCAGCAGCAUUGAACAGAAAGAAGAAAACAAGGGAGGAGAAGACAAGCUAAAAAUGAUUCGGGAAUAUCGGCAAAUGGUUGAGACUGAGCUAAAGUUAAUCUGUUGUGACAUUCUGGAUGUACUGGACAAACACCUCAUUCCAGCAGCUAACACUGGCGAGUCCAAGGUUUUCUAUUAUAAAAUGUAGGUUCUAUACUAGAAGGGAAAAUGUAAGAUUGAAAGUUGGUCCUUUUAGAAUCAUAACUUUUUUCUCUGUAGGUUUUCAACUUUUAUUUAAGAAUAAUUGUUCAAUGUUAGAAGGAUAGUUAAUACUGGAAUGAAAAGAUGGUCGGGCUAUUAUGAAAAUGUGUUAGCUUUUGCUUAUUUAUAUUCUUUUGUUUUUGUGAGACCUAUCCCAUUCCCUUCCCCCAAACG